rnacentral:rRNA from 1 species
GGGUCAGUAGGUUGGUCGUGCCACCGGUACGUACUGGUCUCACUGAUUCCUCCUUCCUGAAGAACCGUAAUGCCAUUAAUUUGGUGUCGCGGGGAAACAGGACUAUUACUUUGAAAAAAUUAGAGUGUUUAAAGCAAGCUAACGCUUGAAUACAUUAGCAUGGAAUAAUGAAAUAGGACGAUCGAUCCUAUUUUGUUGGUUUCUAGGAUUGACGUA